AGCAAUACGGUAUGGCGCACGGCGCACGGGUUGCGUAACACGUGGGCAAUCUGCCCUCUGGUGGGGAAUAACUCCGGGAAACCGAAGCUAAUUCCGCAUAACAUUCCUUGGACCUCGGUUCGAGGACUCAAAGCCGCAAGGCGCCGGAGGUGGAGCCCGCGCACGAUUAGCUAGUUGGCAGGGUAACGGCCUACCAAGGCUUUGAUCGUUAGCUGGUCUGAGAGGAUGGCCAGCCACACUGGAACUGAGACACGGUCCAGACUCCUACGGGAGGCAGCAGUGGGGAAUCUUGCGCAAUGGGCGAAAGCCUGACGCAGCGACGCCGCGUGGGGGAUGAAGCUUCUCGGAGUGUAAACCCCUUUCGACUGGGACGAAUGCCUCGCAAGAGGAGUGACGGUACCAGUAGAAGAAGCCCCGGCUAACUACGUGCCAGCAGCCGCGGUAAGACGUAGGGGGCCAGCGUUGUUCGGAAUUACUGGGUGUAAAGGGUUCGUAGGCGGUGUAGCAAGUCAGGAGUGAAAUCUCUGGGCUUAACUCAGAGACUGCUUCCGAAACUGCUGUGCUGGAGUGUGGGAGAGGCGCGUGGAAUUGCAGGUGUAGCGGUGAAAUGCGUAGAUAUCUGCAGGAACACCCGUGGCGAAAGCGGCGCGCUGGACCACUACUGACGCUGAGGAACGAAAGCUAGGGGAGCAAACAGGAUUAGAUACCCUGGUAGUCCUAGCCCUAAACGAUCAGGACUUGGGGUGCCGCCCGUUCGGGCGUCGUCCCGGAGCUAACGCGUUAAGUCCUGCACCUGGGGAGUACGGUCGCAAGACUGAAACUCAAAGGAAUUGACGGGGGCCCGCACAAGCGGUGGAACAUGUGGUUCAAUUCGACGCUACGCG
rnacentral:rRNA from 1 species